UACGUAGGGUGCGAGCGUUGUCCGGAAUUACUGGGCGUAAAGAGCUCGUAGGUGGUUUGUCGCGUUGUCCGUGAAAACUCACAGCUCAACUGUGGGCGUGCGGGCGAUACGGGCAGACUGGAGUAUGCAGGGGAGACUGGAAUUCCUGGUGUAGCGGUGGAAGUGCGCAGAUAUCAGGAGGAACACCGGUGGCGAAGGCGGGUCUCUGGGCAGUAACUGACGCUGAGGAGCGAAAGCGUGGGGAGCGAACAGG
rnacentral:rRNA from 1 species